GGGAAGGUGGCUCAGUGGCAGAGUGCUUGCCUUGCAUGCAUGAGGUCCUGGGUUCGUUCCUCAGCUCCA
rnacentral:tRNA from 1 species